GUGGGGAAUAUUGGACAAUGGGCGAAAGCCUGAUCCAGCCAUGCCGCGUGUGUGAAGAAGGUCUUCGGAUUGUAAAGCACUUUAAGUUGGGAGGAAGGGCAGUAAGUUAAUACCUUGCUGUUUUGACGUUACCGACAGAAUAAGCACCGGCUAACUUCGUGCCAGCAGCCGCGGUAAUACGAAGGGUGCAAGCGUUAAUCGGAAUCACUGGGCGUAAAGCGUGCGUAGGCGGUUUUGUAAGUUGGAGGUGAAAUCCCCGGGCUCAACCUGGGAACUGCCUCCAAAACUGCAUGACUAGAGUACGGUAGAGGGUAGUGGAAUUUCCUGUGUAGCGGUGAAAUGCGUAGAUAUAGGAAGGAACACCAGUGGCGAAGGCGACUACCUGGACUGAUACUGACACUGAGGUGCGAAAGCGUGGGGAGCAAACAGGAUUAGAAACCCUGGUAGUCC
rnacentral:rRNA from 1 species